GACGAACGCUGGCGGCGUGCUUAACACAUGCAAGUCGAACGGAAAGGCCCUGCUUUUGUGGGGUGCUCGAGUGGCGAACGGGUGAGUAACACGUGAGUAACCUGCCCUUGACUUUGGGAUAACUUCAGGAAACUGGGGCUAAUACCGGAUAGGAGCUCCUGCUGCAUGGUGGGGGUUGGAAAGUUUCGGCGGUUGGGGAUGGACUCGCGGCUUAUCAGCUUGUUGGUGGGGUAGUGGCUUACCAAGGCUUUGACGGGUAGCCGGCCUGAGAGGGUGACCGGCCACAUUGAGACUGAGAUACGGCCCAGACUCCUACGGGAGGCAGCAGUGGGGAAUAUUGCACAAUGGGCGGAAGCCUGAUGCGGCAACGCCGCGUUCGGGAUGACGGCCUUCGGGUUGUAAACCGCUUUCGCCUGUGACGAAGCGUGAGUGACGGUAAUGGGUAAAGAAGCACCGGCUAACUACGUG
rnacentral:rRNA from 1 species